UUUUCUAAAAAUUCAAAGUGAAGAAAUCAUUUAGUUGCUGUGCAAGUAGAAAAGCAGUUCGACACUGGAUGCAGAGGCUGCAGAAUCAAGGUCUGCCAAGAAGAAUCCAAUCCAGAUAAACUGGCAAAAUCAACAGUCCAGAUAACCAAGAAAAAAGAAAGAAAGAAAAAAAGAGCUAUGCCAGCACAGAAGAUGCAAAAACCCCUAGAAGAUUCAUGAUCUCAACUUGACCCAGAGAAGGAAACAGCAAAGAGCAGCUGUUUGACCAUGAGGGAAGUGAACGCAGGCUGAGGAAAUAGAGAACAACGUGGGACUCGUGCCUGUGUCCUCCUCCCCUGCCUGGCCUGCCUCAGCUCAGGACACAGCUGCAGCUCCCUGGGGAGAGGGUCCUCACCUGAGACUUCUAGCUUAAGGAACGAGCCUCUGUGCAACACACCAAAUCACUCCUCUGUGUAAUAAAAUGGGCCAGUCCUUUA